rnacentral:rRNA from 1 species
UACGUAGGGUGCAAGCGUUAAUCGGAAUUACUGGGCGUAAAGCGUGCGCAGGCGGUUUUGUAAGUCUGUCGUGAAAUCCCCGGGCUCAACCUGGGAAUUGCGAUGGAGACUGCAAGGCUAGAAUCUGGCAGAGGGGGGUAGAAUUCCACGUGUAGCAGUGAAAUGCGUAGAGAUGCGGAGGAACACCGAUGGCGAAGGCAGCCCCCUGGGCUGACACUG